GACGCUGCGGCGUGCCUAAUACAUGCAAGUCGAGCGGACAGAAGGGAGCUUGCUCCCGGAUGUUAGCGGCGGACGGGUGAGUAACACGUGGGUAACUGCCUGUAAGACUGGGAUAACUCCGGGAAACNGGAGCUAAUACCGGAUAGUUCCUUGAACCGCAUGGUUCAAGGAUGAAAGACGGUUUCGGCUGUCACUUACAGAUGGACCCGCGGCGCAUUAGCUAGUUGGUGAGGUAACGGCUCACCAAGGCGACGAUGCGUAGCCGACCUGAGAGGGUGAUCGGCCACACUGGGACUGAGACACGGCCCAGACUCCUACGGGAGGCAGCAGUAGGGAAUCUUCCGCAAUGGACGAAAGUCUGACGGAGCAACGCCGCGUGAGUGAUGAAGGUUUUCGGAUCGUAAAGCUCUGUUGUUAGGGAAGAACAAGUGCAAGAGUAACUGCUUGCACCUUGACGGUACCUAACCAGAAAGCCACGGCUAACUACGUGCCAGCAGCCGCGGUAAUACGUAGGUGGCAAGCGUUGUCCGGAAUUAUUGGGCGUAAAGGGCUCGCAGGCGGUUUCUUAAGUCUGAUGUGAAAGCCCCCGGCUCAACCGGGGAGGGUCAUUGGAAACUGGGAAACUUGAGUGCAGAAGAGGAGAGUGGAAUUCCACGUGUAGCGGUGAAAUGCGUAGAGAUGUGGAGGAACACCAGUGGCGAAGGCGACUCUCUGGUCUGUAACUGACGCUGAGGAGCGAAAGCGUGGGGAGCGAACAGGAUUAGAUACCCUGGUAGUCCACGCCGUAAACGAUGAGUGCUAAGUGUUAGGGGGUUUCCGCCCCUUAGUGCUGCAGCUAACGCAUUAAGCACUCCGCCUGGGGAGUACGGUCGCAAGACUGAAACUCAAAGGAAUUGACGGGGGCCCGCACAAGCGGUGGAGCAUGUGGUUUAAUUCGAAGCAACGCGAAGAACCUUACCAGGUCUUGACAUCCUCUGACAACCCUAGAGAUAGGGCUUUCCCUUCGGGGACAGAGUGACAGGUGG
rnacentral:rRNA from 1 species